UUGAAUGAUGAGAGAUGAACUCUGGCCUUCUCUUGACAGUCAUUUCUGCAACCCUACGCACUGACGUUCAGAGGACCUCUCUGGUUCCAACCCGACAUAAUCGGCGAGGGUGGACUGAGGGGUCCUGCCUCACCACAUUCUUAGGGAUCCUCAGGGGCCUACUAGUCAAGCCUACGGGGAGGCAGACGAUGCCAAGGUCAAAGGUUUACCUUCAUCGUCUUCUUUCUUUGCUUCUUCCAGGUCCAAGUCAAUGACAUCUCCAAAUGGGGUAUCGGGGUUGAAGAUGGCCUGCAGCACUGCCUGAUCAUUUGGAGUCCCCAUGGUGCUCAGCUCCAAGAUCUCAAAAGGUAGCUCGGGAUACAGGGGAAGAUGGUGGGAACAGGGUAGGGCUUUCAGGGGCAGUUGUGAAUGGAGAAGGCUCUGCUCGGGCACGGCUGCAAAAUCAGAAGGGGUGUCUUCCAGCCCUUGGCUCAGCCUCCAUGGCUAGGGUCAGUGACCUGGUCUGGUGGUUUUACAGUAUUUCCCAACUGAACCUUAACACAGAAUAAACAAACCGUUUCAGCCUUAAGGUGGAGUGGAGCACAGACAGGACCAAAUGCUUUUAUUUUAUCAUAGUCGGGUUUAGAAACCACUAGCUUCCUAUUAGAGGAUAUGGGUCGACAGAAACGAAGUCCUUUCAUCCAGAACCUGAGGUCACAGACACACAUCACCACUCAGUGGAGGACACCCCAGGUUGCUGCAUGGUGCUCAGGAUUGGCCGGGGGAUUGACGAGUGCUUGGCACCAGACAGCUGCUCAAUCAAGAACACAACCGCAUCAUGGAGAAUCCCGAGCAUCCUCAAACCGUUCACACCUAAAGAAUGAAAGGCACCUGGGUAGUGAGUGUAUAGCAACAGGAAGCUGAGUGGCAUGAACAAAAGGCUGCAUUGGAGAGCAACAGCCAGAGGCUAAUACUCUGACUCCCAGCAUUGCCUAGGCUGGUUCUGACUGAACUCCUGGAUUCCGGUCAUCUCUGCUCCAGGCUCCACAGCAGGUGUGAGGAGAACAUGCACUGCCACAUCCGGGAGCUCUGAUUCUUCUCUCUACCCUCAUAUUGAAGAGUCACCAAGUCUGUCCACCGUUCCGUCCCUUCUUUUCCUAUGUGUUUUUUAUUACCUGGCAUUUCUACUACAGCAAUACACUUAAUAAAUAAUUUCGUGCCUC